rnacentral:misc_RNA from 1 species
UGCUCUUUGCUUGCGCAACAACUGUCGACCCCUCGUCUGUUUCAUUUUUGCCCCGAGAUUGAGCUUGCUCUUCUCGGGCACGACCCUUGGUUCCUGUGUUGCCUUCCCAUCGUGUGGAAAGUUUCGUGAGAUGGCCCCGCCCCUUUCCCCCUUGUGGCUUUGCGGCUGCAAAGUGGACCUCGAAAGCAGUCCCCGUGUCCCGGACAUGUCCUCUGACUGUUUGUCGUGGCUGUCUCGGUCCACAGGACAACUGCUCGCGCUCUCGGAUGUGGAAAAUUAAGCGGACAUGGGGGGGUCUCGGCCUCCGGUUGCUCCCAAUCAAAGUCCCUCGAUAGGAAUGACUUUCGAUACCUCGUGUUGACCGCAGGCCGUCCAGGCCCGUGGCAUCAAUGCGGGUCCNAAGUCNAGAAAGGAUGCUACCUGGUUGAUCCUGCCAGUAGUCAUAUGCUUGUCUCAAAAAUUAAGCCAUGCAUGUGUAAGUA